CAGAGUGGUUUACAGCUUCACACUUUCUCCUGGGGAGCUCCAGAAAGUGCUGUGCCUGAGAGAGAUCAAGCCGACUGAACUAUUAGCUGAUGAAAGAAUGGAUCCUGAGCACCCUCUUCCCCACCUUCAUUUUUACAGACCACUGUUAUUUAUGGAUGAUCUGCAAUAACUGAAGUAGGAGGGAAGGUCAUAAACCAAAAUCCGCUACCUGUGAAGUCAGUGACCUACUUACGCCAAGACAUAUUUGGUCCAAUUCCUCUGCCCUUUCUUGAGUUACAGUAACAGUCUGCUGUCACUUAAAUAAUCUGAUCAGACAAAUUCCAACCAAAGUAACAGAACACAGUAUAUGGAACUACAGUGAGAACUAGAGCAGCAAUCAGAACUGUGCUGCUGCCUUUCCUAUUUCUGAGUGCAUGGUUGUCCAAUCUCUUGGAUAUGUUAUCGUGAGAUUCCUUCGGCUUCUUGAAUCUGAGUUCCUCUUGGUUCCAUGCUAUUAUUUAAAGACUACUUCAUCUGUAUCAAUGCCACCGUCACCAAAUCAUCUACACCAGCUGAUGUACUCAGGCACUCAAGGCGAAACUGCACAGAUGAAAUGGCCUUCCCUGAAGUAAAGAAAGCAGUAGAGCUGUUUAAAAUCAAACGAACGUUUUAAUUAAUCAAAUCUAGAAGGCAGACCACAUGUUAACUUGUCAGAGAGCUUUUGCUGUCAAAGAGCAGGGAUAUUUACACCCAGUCGUCAGCUCCACAGCCCUCUGUAUGGCAUACAGGCCAAUUAAUAGAGCACUAAAAACUAUGGAGCAGAUUAGAACCAACAAACCUGAACAGUGAGACCAGAACUGAUACUAGUUACUUAUAUCUUUUAAGAGUAUAUUAGGACUUUCGCGACAACAAUAAAUUUGUUAUACUAGGUAUUACUGUAAAAUAGUCUAAACCUAACUAAGGAAAAUGGCCAUGAAGAAGGGUAAAGAAAAAAAGCCCCUGAGAAUUCUGAGACCUCUGUCCAUAGCAGUCAGAAAGGAAAUAGGGUAGAGUUAGGAGUGUGGAUCCUUAUUUUGUCUUGUGGGUCCCUUAAGGAGUAUAUGUAUGGCCAUUGCUUCCCCUGGACUUCUGGCCUCUCUGGUGGAGAGUCUGCAGUCCCAAGGAUGGAUUCUUUGCUUGCAAUAUUCAAACUGAAAACUGUCUUUUCAGAUUUUCCAGGUUCACUAGUCAUGUGGUGAAGCUUCAUAUCUGGUUCUUAACAGUCAUUUCAUAUCACAUAAAGUUGUGUAGUAAUAUCACCAAAAGAUUGAUGCAGCAGUUUGUGGCAUGUCACAUUUUGCUGUAUCAGUCCAGGAAAUUGAACAUAAAUAGACGGCUUUCAUACGUUGUGGUUUUGAAUGUGUGAGUUG